AACGAACGCUGGCGGCAUGCCUAACACAUGCAAGUCGAACGAGACCUUCGGGUAUAGUGUCGCACGGGUGCGUAACGCGUGGGAACCUGCCCUUAGGUUCGGAAUAACUCCCCGAAAGGGGUGCUAAUACCGGAUAAUGUCUUCGGACCAAAGAUUUAUCGCCUUUGGAUGGGCCCGCGUUGGAUUAGCUAGUUGGUAGGGUAAAAGCCUACCAAGGCGACGAUCCAUAGCUGGUCUGAGAGGAUGAUCAGCCACACUGGGACUGAGACACGGCCCAGACUCCUACGGGAGGCAGCAGUGGGGAAUAUUGGACAAUGGGCGAAAGCCUGAUCCAGCAAUGCCGCGUGAGUGAUGAAGGCCUUAGGGUUGUAAAGCUCUUUUACCCGGGAUGAUAAUGACAGUACCGGGAGAAUAAGCUCCGGCUAACUCCGUG
rnacentral:rRNA from 1 species